GCCCUCCGCCAUUUUGGUCAAGGCUCAAGGCCAUGGCCAAUUUGUUUUUAUACGUAUUCGUAUUUCGGUAGUGCGCGUUACUUAUUCCGUCUCUAAGAAUAAAUAUGAUUUUGAUUAGAGUCCCUUUAUAACACAGGUGUUAUAAAGGGACUCUAAUUUUGAUGUGAUUGAUGAAUGUGAUUCUAACUCUAACCUAAAGUUUAUUAUUAUUUCUGUGUCUGUGCUUAUCAAACUCUAGUAAUGUACACGCAAGUGGAGAAACUUUUGUCGCGAAUAGGAUUACCAGGGCUGCUGGACAAAUUUAAAGAAUCAUUCUUAGAUGAUGAAGCUCUUCGAUGCGUAACAUGUAAGGAGGAUUUAUCAGGCAUUGUACCCAUGGGACUGGCUCUCCGAUUCUUUGACGCUUUGAAAAAAGACAGAGAUGACCCUCAGGGAUCGGGAUCAACCCUCGAUUCUCUCAACUCUAGCUCACUUGAAAUCGUUGCCACUCUCUCUCAAUCUCCUUCCUCUUCUCCUGUUACUAUUUUCAACUCCACUUCCGCUGAUAACCUAAUUUCCCCAGAUUUCCAUGUGCCCAUCUGUGACUUAACUCAAGUUGUCGUUGAAAACAUUGUAGGGACUGAAGCCUUCGCAAAUUCUCCUACUCCUGCUCCUGCGCCUACUCCUACCCUCACACCUCUUCCUUCUUCUAUCCCUGAUCCUCUCACUCCCUCUCAGAAUAUUCAAUCCACCUCUCCCC
rnacentral:lncRNA from 1 species